rnacentral:lncRNA from 1 species
AAGCAGUUAAGCAAGUGAUAACCUUUAAAUACUCCUGAAUUUAGAUGGAAGUAACAAGAGGCACCGUUCUGGCUUGUGUAGAAGGGAAUGAAACUGAAGAUGGGCCUGAACUUGGCAGAACAACUCAAUUCAGGGCUGUGCUACAGCUGGGCUGCAGGAAGGCUGCAAGCAACGACACACCACAGCACACGGCCUUCGGGCAGAAACGCAAGCAGAAAGCUAAGGACCUGAAACACCGUGCUGAUCUGCAGCCACUGUUCUGCACAGAACAAAACACAAAAUACCCCAUGAGUAUCAACAGCAAAAACUGCAACAUUCUACUGUAGAACUGCUAUAGUUCUAGCAAGACUCAGUCACUGCAGUUCCCAAGGAAGGUCAGACCACGAGCUGUUCGCAGUGUCACAGGUGCGGGCGGUCCUGCAGGUUCCCGAGGUACCGAGGCCGGCCCGGCAGCCGCAGCGCCCCGUGCAAUGCAGUGCAGUGCAGUGCUGGCAGCGCGGAGCUUACACCAGCUCCCAUCACCCCACCGCCCUUCCUGCCGAUGCCCACUCACUCCCUCCUCGUGCCCGGCUCCCAUCAUCCACGCGCCGCCCCUGGUCCGAGCUCCUCGUGCAGCCUCCAACCCGCACCGAGCACACGUGUUUUAGACACAGCGCCUCGAAGGUGCGGGGCUGUGUAACGUGGAGGGAUGUAUCCGCCUGUCGUCAUCCCAUAGAGACGGUCUCUGCAGCUGCUCUCCUUCCAAAGGUAAAGAACGGGGCUGGGGGGGUGGGUUUCUGCCUCUAGAAGGUCCCAUCAGUGCUGCACCUGCACCGUGCACUUCAGGUUGUGGAUGUUUUAAAAUGAGCAUUCUGCCUACAGAAUUAAUGAAACACACCAUUGACACUUAGAUUUCAAAGAGCAGGGGGCUGAAAAGGGCUUGAAUUGUGCUUUGCAGUGCAGCUGCUGCUGUUGAGCUCUUCUUAAAACAGUCAUAGUACUUCUUAGAGCUCCUGGAUUGAGUUCAGAUUGAAGGUCCUUCAAAGGCUUCACAGGCUGCAGGGACACUUCUAAAGCUGAGGAGCCAGAAAGGACAGAACCUUUGUUGUAUUGUGGGGAAGCUCAUUGCUCUGAGUUUGCACAAGCCAGGCGUUGUGAGAGCAUGGUGUUAGAAAUCUGAAUGCACCAAAAUGGAGUUUGAAACAUGGUAGGCAUCAGCAAGGAAUGCCAGCUGCACUGGGAAAUGGCAUGUUUUGCAGUAAUUUCACUUCUUUCACAGCUUAAUUCCACAGCGCUGUGGAUGGUGUCACAUCAUCCCUACCUCAAUACGCUGGUUCACAGGCCAGG